CUUUUCCUUUUUGCUUAAGUGUUUCUUGGUAUGUUGCCUGGGAAGUUAGAUAUGUUAUUAUAACACAGUGAGGAAUUAUGUAAGACGAAGCCCAGCUUGCUUUUCUUUUUCCUUCCAGUUCUACUAUGCCUUAGACAAAACUCAACCAUUCUCUUCCAUGAUGUAGAAUGGCUACUAAAAAGGAAGAAGAAAAGAAAGCUUUCAGAGGACAGUGAAGAGCUAUAGAGAAAAUCCCUUCUGGGAGCACCAUGAUCCCCAGGGAGCACUAUGAUACCUGGAGGCGGUAGAGAAAAAGACCCAAGUUCAGGAAGAUUAAGUCACUUUCCGGAGCCAUUUAAUAGCUGGGGUUAUAUUCCUGGUUUGAGGAACUGUCGAGCUGGAUCCAAUCCUAGGUCCACCCAACCCAAGAUUCGAAUGAUCGCAGAAGUCUGAAGGGAUGUGUCGGGAGACGGCCAAUCAAUAAAUGCAACCUAAAUGUAGGUUAAUUAACCUAC
rnacentral:lncRNA from 1 species